AUGGUUUACAUGUCUUGUGAUAUUUUUCUUUUUCUUGCAGAUCAUACAUAUAAUUUCCUGUGCGGCUCUCAGUAUCUCCAAGACCUAGGAUGCUCCUUGAGAGUGUAUUCCUGCUUAUGUAAACGAGAGCUUUCUAGAAGAGAUAAUGGUUAUGAACACUGGCCCUUAACCAAGAAACAGAAGUUGAAUGAACUGCGGGAAGAUAAACUUCACUUUGCUGUGAUUUCAGAACUGAUAUCAGCAGGCAGUUGUCUAAAAACUAUAUUUGUUUUCCUAAUCUGCUACUUUUCACGACAAUUAUAUUUGUGGUGUCUUCCCUCUGUCACCCUCAGACUGCCCUCCCGUGACUAGCCCCUGAUACUUCAGUUUCACAGCGACCAUCCUGGCGCAGCACAGGGAGCGGUGAACGAUGAGACCCGGCAUUUGGUCAUUCUCAGGUCCAGGUGAUGUGGACUCGUCUUUUCUCUGCAUUUUAUAUAUUCUCUUCCAACUGAAGAACCCUCAUGCACACCUUUUAGAUCAGAG
rnacentral:lncRNA from 1 species